rnacentral:rRNA from 14 species
UCGUACUAGAUGUCUAACCUAGGUCCGUUAUCCGGAUCAGGGACAGUGCCUGAUGGGUAGUUUAACUGGGGCGGUUGCCUCCUAAAAUGUAACGGAGGCGCUCAAAGGUUCCCUCAGCCUGGUUGGCAAUCAGGUGGCGAGUGUAAGUGCACAAGGGAGCUUGACUGUGAGACAGACAUGUCGAGCAGGGACGAAAGUCGGAACUAGUGAUCCGGCGUCGGCAUGUGGAAGCGACGUCGCUCAACGGAUAAAAGGUACCCCGGGGAUAACAGGCUGAUCUUCCCCAAGAGUCCAUAUCGACGGGAUGGUUUGGCACCUCGAUGUCGGCUCGUCGCAUCCUGGGGCUGGAGUAGGUCCCAAGGGUUGGGCUGUUCGCCCAUUAAAGCGGCACGCGAGCUGGUUUUAGAAC